UUCAUCCUUCCUCGGUUGCACCAUCCACUUCAUCCUCCUUGGCAAAAGACCAACAGAUCCCUACGGAAGAUCUGGCUUCGUCGCUUUGGAUUGUACCGCAGGAAUUUCUUUCUCCUCCUUCAACAAAUAUCGAAUCCUUAGAAGAACCAUAAAAAUUGGGGAAGAACGAAAUACCGAUCUUGGUCGUGGUUGCUAGCUUGCACAAUUGAUCUCUUCUUCGAGAUAGGAGGCACCCUCCGCCAAUUCGAGCUCUGUAUCUUGCCUGAAACGACAUAUCUUCUUCCAUCUCUGAUUCAUCUCCAGAUCUAUCUUCAUCUCCGGAUCCGUCCAAGUUCAUCAACUGUUGCCGUUCCCAUCGGUAGUAAGGCUCAAAGGAGAUGGGCGAAAGUAUCUAGCGUGUUGAGAUGGUUCUCUAUUCGUAAGCUUGUUGCGAAAAGGAAUCGUGUUAUAGAUAUUCAUGAUUUGUGUUGGACGUGGAAGUGGAGGUGAGUAUAGGCGUCAGCGUUGGCAACGCAUCAAAGAUGACACUCCUGCUUAAUUUUUUGUUUAUUUUAUCAUUUUUAUUAUUGAAGAAAAGAUGAUGUGACAUGUAUUUUAAUUAAAAUGUCCGUGUGGCAUAUGAUGUGUGAUUAAUUUGAUCAGUCAAAAUGAC
rnacentral:lncRNA from 1 species